rnacentral:rRNA from 1 species
AGUGAACGCUGGCGGUAGGCCUAACACAUGCAAGUCGAACGGCAGCACAGUAAGAGCUUGCUCUUACGGGUGGCGAGUGGCGGACGGGUGAGGAAUACAUCGGAAUCUACUUUUUCUUGGGGGAUAACGUAGGGAAACUUACGCUAAUACCGCAUACGACCUACGGGUGAAAGCAGUGGAUCUUCGGACCUUGCCCGAUUGAUUUAGCCGAUGUCGGAUUAGCUAGUUGGCGGGGUAAAGGCCCACCAAGGCGACGAUCCGUAGCUGGUCUGAGAGGAUGAUCAGCCACACUGGAACUGAGACACGGUCCAGACUCCUACGGGAGGCAGCAGUGGGGAAUAUUGGACAAUGGGCGAAAGCCUGAUCCAGCCAUACCGCGUGGGUGAAGAAGGCCUUCGGGUUGUAAAGCCCUUUUGUUGGGAAAGAAAAGCAGCAGGUUAAUCCCCCGAUGUUCUGACGGUACCCAAAGAAUAAGCACCGGCUAACUUCGUG